GCCGGGCGUGGUGGCGUGUGCCUGUAAUCCCAGCUACUUGGGAGGCUGAGGCAGAAGAAUCGCUUGAACUCAGGAGGCGGAGGUUGCAGUAAGCCGAGAUGGCACCACUGCACUCCAUCCUGGGCAACAGAGUGAGACUCUGUCUCAA
rnacentral:SRP_RNA from 1 species